AUGUUGUGGUUUCUCUUCAGAGCGUAAAAAAUCUUUCGCCUUUUACUGAAGAUUUCCGUGGAAGGGAACAAUUAUGAGUUUGUAACUCAUUUUUUGAGGCCCCGUUCUGCGGUAAG